UACGAAGGGGGCUAGCGUUGCUCGGAAUGACUGGGCGUAAAGGGCGCGUAGGCGGCGAUCAAGGUCAGAUGUGAAAUUCCUGGGCUUAACCUGGGGGCUGCAUUUGAUACGUGGUGGCUUGAGUGCGGAAGAGGGUCGUGGAAUUCCCAGUGUAGAGGUGAAAAUGCGUAGAUAUCUGGAGGAACACCGGUGGCGAAGGCGGCAUCCUGGACCGGCAUUGACGCUGAGGCGCGAAAGCUAGGGGAGCAAACGGGG
rnacentral:rRNA from 1 species